GUACGCCUAGUAAGUCUCUCUCCGCCACGGUAACAGGAAGCAGCUUGCUGCUUCGCUGACGAGUGGCGGACGGGUGAGUAAUGUCUGGGAAACUGCCUGAUGGAGGGGGAUAACUACUGGAAACGGUAGCUAAUACCGCAUAACGUCGCAAGACCAAAGAGGGGGACCUUCGGGCCUCUUGCCAUCGGAUGUGCCCAGAUGGGAUUAGCUAGUAGGUGGGGUAACGGCUCACCUAGGCGACGAUCCCUAGCUGGUCUGAGAGGAUGACCAGCCACACUUGGAACUUGAGAUCACGGUCCCAAGACUCCUUACGGGAGGCAGCAGGUGGGGAAUAUUGCAUCAAUGGGCGCCAAGCCUGAUGCAGCCAUGCCGCGUGGUAUGAAGAAGGCCUUCGGGUUGUAAAGUACUUUCAGCGGGGAGGAAGGCGAUAAGGUUAAUAACCUUGUCGAUUGACGUUACCCGCAGAAGAAGCACCGGCUAACUCCGUGCCAGCAGCCGCGGUAAUACGGAGGGUGCAAGCGUUAAUCGGAAUUACUGGGCGUAAAGCGCACGCAGGCGGUCUGUCAAGUCGGAUGUGAAAUCCCCCGGGCUCAACCUGGGAACUGCAUUCGAAACUGGCAGGCUAGAGUCUUGUAGAGGGGGGUAGAAUUCCAGGUGUAGCGGUGAAAUGCGUAGAGAUCUGGAGGAAUACCGGUGGCGAAGGCGGCCCCCUGGACAAAGACUGACGCUCAGGUGCGAAAGCGUGGGGAGCAAACAGGAUUAGAUACCCUGGUAGUCCACGCCGUAAACGAUGUCGACUUGGAGGUUGUGCCCUUGAGGCGUGGCUUCCGGAGCUAACGCGUUAAGUCGACCGCCUGGGGAGUACGGCCGCAAGGUUAAAACUCAAAUGAAUUGACGGGGGCCCGCACAAGCGGUGGAGCAUGUGGUUUAAUUCGAUGCAACGCGAAGAACCUUACCUACUCUUGACAUCCAGAGAACUUWCCAGAGAUGGAUUGGUGCCUUCGGGAACUCUGAGACAGGUGCUGCAUGGCUGUCGUCAGCUCGUGUUGUGAAAUGUUGGGUUAAGUCCCGCAACGAGCGCAACCCUUAUCCUUUGUUGCCAGCGGUUUAGGCCGGGGAACUCMAAGGAGACUGGCCAGKGAWAAACUGGGAGGAAGGUGGGGAUGAACGUCARGUCCAUCAAUGGCSCUUACGAGUAGGGCUACACACCGUGCCUACAAWGGSGCGMYACWAWSAGAAGCGACCUCGCGAGAGCAAGCGGACCUCAUAAAGUGCGUCGUAGUCCGGAUUGGAGUCUGCAACUCGACUCCAUGAAGUCGGAAUCGCUAGUAAUCGUGGAUCAGAAUGCCACGGUGAAUACGUUCCCGGGCCUUGUACACACCGCCCGUCACACCAUGGGAGUGGGUUGCAAAAGAAGUAGGUAGCUUAACCUUCGUGAGUGCGCUAGCUAUUGGUCGUUC
rnacentral:rRNA from 1 species